rnacentral:tRNA from 1 species
GGAAGCGUAUCGAAGUGGUCAUAACGGGCCUGACUCGAAAUCAGGUGUACCGCAAGGUACCGUGGGUUCGAAUCCCACCGCUUCCGCCA